CCUACGGGGGGCAGCAGUGGGGAAUAUUGCGCAAUGGGCGAAAGCCUGACGCAGCAACGCCGCGUGAGGGAAUGAAGGUCUUCGGAUUUUAAACCCCUGUCAUGUGGGAGCAAAUUAAAAAGAUAGUACCACAAGAGGAAACGACGGCUAACGCUGUGCCAACAGCCGCGGUAAUACAGAGGUCUCAAUCGUUGUUCGGAAUCACUGGGCGUAAAGAGGGCGUAGGCGGUUUCGUAAGUCAUGUGUGAAAGGCGCGGGCUCAACCCGCGGACGGCACAUGAUAUUGGGAGACUAGAGUAUAGGAGAGGGAAGCGGAAUUCUCGGUGUAGCAGUGAAAGGCGUAGAUAUCGGGAGGAACACUAGUGGCGAAGGCGGGUGCCUGGACAUUAACUGACGCUGAGGCACGAAGGCCAGGGGAGCGAAAGGGAUUAGAUACCCGAGUAGUC
rnacentral:rRNA from 1 species